CUGCUCUCCACUUUCUCUCCCCUCCAGAUCUAAUCUCAAAUUUUUUAGCUUGUGAUCCUGUUUCCAUUUUUCAUGCAAGUCGAGAGGCGUUUGGUUUUGGAUAUAGCUCCGCAUCACCAUUGUCUGAGUUUUUGUCUCCUAGGGACUUAA